ACCUAUUGGACCCGGGGGCGGUACCCGGCGCCUCCACCAAAAUAUAAACCACCAAAAUUAUAUUUUGGUGGGGGCGAAAUAGGAUCGACAAGGGUGUAAAGAUCGCUCUUUUACUCGGCAUUGUACCACCGUUAUCGGGCUAAAUGAGUAGUUGCAAAUGACAACUAUGCGGAAGCACGUCUCGCCGCUUAAGGUGGUGUGAAUGUUUCAAACUGACUCUUAAACCGUCGCAGGUUUAAGCGGGGUUGGAAGG
rnacentral:tmRNA from 1 species